AGCGGCAGACGGGUGAGUAACACGUGGGAACCUUCCUAGAGGUACGGAACAACGCAGGGAAACUUGCGCUAAUACCGUAUGUGCUCUUGCGAGGAAAGAUUUAUCGCCUUUAGACGGGCCCGCGUCGGAUUAGCUAGUUGGUGGGGUAAUGGCCCACCAAGGCGACGAUCAGUAGCUGGUCUGAGAGGAUGAUCAGCCACACUGGGACUGAGACACGGCCCAG
rnacentral:rRNA from 1 species